AGAGUGCCUUAAUGUAAAAGCAGUGAAAAAGUGAAGGGAUUAAUUCAAUUCUCAGAGGCCAUUAAUGAUCCCAUAGCAGGAUUUUGCCAUAGUAACCCUGGAUAUCUUCCCAGCCAAGUAACCUUAAAGCAUCCUUUGGCAGCUGAACUGGCUGGGGAACUCCGUACCUCGCCACCUUAUGUGUAAUUACGUUAGAAAUGACUCAUCAUGGGAGUGACUUUGGAAGAAGACAGGGAAGUAUGUGAGAGCAGUAGGAAGAAGACAGGGCAUGGGGCCAUACAUCGUAUUGACUGUAAAUAUCCCCUAGCACUUGAAGCUUAGAGUUCAGUUUCAGCUUCCACAUUUCUUCAGCCUUUUACCAUCGAUCCUUAACUGGAGAAGUACAGCAUUAAGAACUGCACUUGAAACUUGCUUUGGCGGAACAAAUACGCUGACAGCUGCAGAACCCUGGCUGCCAGCCAUAAACACCCAGUGACUGUAAAUGAAGCCCUUCACAAGGACAUUCACUGAGAAAUAUAAGGCAGACUAAUGGACAGAAGACAGAAAGUAGUGAAACCUUUAGACACUUGAUAUUAAGGCUGGAGUGACAGUCACUAAGGUCAGCUUGCCAACUACAGCUAAGAGGACACCAAGAAGCUCAGGGGCAGCAUGGGAAGCCAGUAUGUUACAGAGUCAAAUCUCAAUGCUUUCUGAACUUGCUGUUUGACCCCUCAGAUGUCAAGGGAAUGGCAUAAACUGUUAGCACUCUGGUGGAAAGAACAGAGAAUGCAAUGGGUGACAACAGUAUUUUGUUUUUAACAAAAGGCACCAUGUAAAAAACUGUUUCAGUCUACCCAGUCUGUGGUUCUGCCAAUCCUGUGUGCUGCAUAAAUAAAUCAACAAUCCAAAAUGGAAUCUAAAAAACCUUCCUCGAAAUCUGAAUUUAAUUCAAGCCAUGACUGUCACCUGCAAUUUUACUUUUUGCAUUGAAGUAUCCAUAAGCUUUGGACGUACUUUCCUGCUUCUUUCUCAGGUGUUUUUCUCCAGUGGCCAUGAUACUGUGUCUGAUUGUGGAGUAGCUGCAGACUUUCAGCAUUCAGUGUGCCUUCUGCUCUGGGGUCUAAUCUCAUUAAUAGGAAAAUGACAAAUGAGCUUCUGUGAUGGAAAUACACAUUUUACUGUAGUAUUUCUUUAGAAUGUAAAUCUCACACUACUGCUGCAUCCUAAUUAUUGAAUAAAUGAAGAAAAAAUACCAGCUACGUAAACAAGGAGAUCAGCAAAAUGACUCACUGAUUAUGAAGCGGGUUGGAGCAAAAAUGUGCAACUGCAAGGAGGCCCCAAGAUGGAGAUUGGAAGCCGCUUCUUUAGGUGAAGUGAUCUCAUUUGAUAUUUAGACUUUAGAAAGAUAUGGUGAUAGUAAAAGGUAAAACAGCGUCACAAAACUUGAGCAUUCUUUUGCAUCACAUAGUUUCAUUAUACUGGAAGGUUUCAGACUAUAUAAUAAUAAUUAUAAUAAUAAUAAUAACUUUAUUUAUAUACAGUAGCACCUUAUCCUACAUUAGCAUGCAACUCAAGGUGCUUUCCACAUAUUAAUCAACAAAACAAUAAAGAUAUACCACAUUAACUUGGAUUUUUAUCAUUAAUUAACGAUAAUUUCUUAUAAAUGUAAGUAUACUAAGUACAAAAUGAACCAGGUAUUUUUAAGCAAAAUUUAACCACUAAAGUGCAAAACAAACCUUCAUUCUUAUUAGAAAAAGGUUUUCUAAUUAAAAUAUUUAUGCAUUAUGACAA